rnacentral:rRNA from 1 species
AGUGAACGCUGGCGGUAGGCCUAACACAUGCAAGUCGAACGGCAGCACAGUAAGAGCUUGCUCUUACGGGUGGCGAGUGGCGGACGGGUGAGGAAUACAUCGGAAUCUGCUUUUUCGUGGGGGAUAACGUAGGGAAACUUACGCUAAUACCGCAUACGACCUACGGGUGAAAGCAGGGGAUCUUCGGACCUUGCGCGAUUGAAUGAGCCGAUGUCGGAUUAGCUAGUUGGCGGGGUAAAGGCCCACCAAGGCGACGACCCGUAGCUGGUCUGAGAGGAUGAUCAGCCACACUGGAACUGAGACACGGUCCAGACUCCUACGGGAGGCAGCAGUGGGGAAUAUUGGACAAUGGGCGCAAGCCUGAUCCAGCCAUACCGCGUGGGUGAAGAAGGCCUUCGGGUUGUAAAGCCCUUUUGUUGGGAAAGAAAAGCAGCAGGUUAAUACCCCGCUGUUCUGACGGUACCCAAAGAAUAAGCACCGGCUAACUUCGUG